UACGAAGGGGGCUAGCGUUGCUCGGAAUUACUGGGCGUAAAGGGCUCGUAGGCGGCCAACUAAGUCAGACGUGAAAUCCCCAGGCUCAACCUGGGAACUGCGUCUGAUACUGGAUGGCUUGAAUUCGGGAGAGGGAUGCAGAAUUCCAGGUGUAGCGGUGAAAUGCGUAGAGAUCGGAAGGAACACCAGUGGCGAAGGCGGCUACCUGGACAGAUACUGACGCUGAGGCACGAAGGCCAGGGGAGCAAACGGG
rnacentral:rRNA from 1 species